UCUCAACACUCAUUCCAAGGAGUUGUCACUGAUACAGGGGAAAUGCUAGAUGUCAGGUAGGCUGAGUUUGUGUUCUCUGACUUUGAAGAAUGAAUUCUAAGGAACAACAGAGGAUAAGAGAAGUGAAAGGUUUGGCCCAGACAGGACACUGUAGCCAGGAAAGCCACAGCCAGAAGCAGGAAGCCCCAUCUUGCCCUGCCCCUAGGAAGUUACCUGUGACGCCAUCUUCCCGCCCCUGGGAAUUUACAUAUGGCGCCAAACCUAGGACCAAUGGGCUACCUGUGUUUCCCUAAUGCCCACCUUAGGUUCCACCCCAAACCGAGGCUAUUUACAGGCCCCCACGCCGCGUGUCCGCUGGAGAGAUCGCCGGACGCCAGCGGUGGGGGUUGCCGGUCAUCUCUCUCCGUGUUCUCAGAAUAAAGGCCGCUUUUUAUUUUAUAUUUCUCAUCUUUUGUUAAUAUUUUUCAUCUUUUGGAAAUAACCCUAUCAUUUGGUACCGUGACUCGAUCGGCAGGCAACUAACUCUUGGGCCACAUACCCAGAGUUUCCUCGCCGAUAACCAGAUAACAUCCUGGAUUAAUCCCGAGCUUUUUCCUCUCCCGAGACGUUCCUGUCGCCAGCCGCCUGCACUCCGCAUCGGCCAGACUGAUUUCAGUCUGACAUACGUGCAUUCACCAGUGAAGCUGUCCUGGCCAAAACACCUGGCACCAGCGUCUACCUGGGCAUCAACCUUCAUCCCGUCGACUCCCCUAGGCUCCAGUACAGCGCCCUUUGCCAGCAGGAAGUAGUUAAAGAGAGAAAUCUUCGCCCCUUUUCAUAAUAAUAACCAUAAGACGGGAUAUGAAAGGUUUGGCCCAGACAGGACACUGUAGCCAGGAAAGCCACAGCCAGAAGCAGGAAGCCCCAUCUUGCCCUGCCCCUAGGAAGUUACCUGUGACGCCAUCUUCCCGCCCCUGGGAAUUUACAUAUGGCGCCAAACCUAGGACCAAUGGGCUACCUGUGUUUCCCUAAUGCCCACCUUAGGUUCCACCCCAAACCGAGGCUAUUUACAGGCCCCCACGCCGCGUGUCCGCUGGAGAGAUCGCCGGACGCCAGCGGUGGGGGUUGCCGGUCAUCUCUCUCCGUGUUCUCAGAAUAAAGGCCGCUUUUUAUUUUAUA